rnacentral:rRNA from 1 species
CACGUAGGGCGCAAGCGUUGUCCGGAAUCAUUGGGCGUAAAGAGCGUGUAGGCGGCCUUACAGGUCAGCUGUGAAAACUCGAGGCUCAACCUCGAGACGUCGGUUGAAACCGUAAGGCUAGAGUCCGGAAGAGGAGAGUGGAAUUCCCGGUGUAGCGGUGAAAUGCGCAGAUAUCGGGAAGAACACCCGUGGCGAAGGCGGCUCUCUGGGACGGUACUGACGCUGAGACGCGAAAGCGUGGGGAGCGAACAGG